rnacentral:pre_miRNA from 1 species
UAUGAUUGUCUAGUAUGCAACUGUCGAUGUGGAACGCACGGUUUCUGCUAGAAGUCAUAGC